GUGUCCAGGGGCGGGAAUCGAACCCACGACCUUCCGCUUACCGAGCAGAUGUCAUGUCCACUAGAAAAAUA
rnacentral:tRNA from 1 species